CGAAGGCGCUCUGCUGGGCCAUUACUGACGCUCAUGGACGAAAGCCAGGGGAGCGAAAGGGAUUAGAUACCCCUGUAGUCCUGGCCGUAAACGAUGAACACUAGGUGUCGGGGGAAUCGACCCCUUCGGUGUCGUAGCUAACGCGUUAAGUGUUCCGCCUGGGGAGUACGCACGCAAGUGUGAAACUCAAAGGAAUUGACGGGGGCCCGCACAAGCGGUGGAGUAUGUGGUUUAAUUCGAUGCAACGCGAAGAACCUUACCAGGGUUUGACAUCCUGCGAACCUCUUAGAAAUUUGAGGGUGCCUUCGGGAAUGCAGUGACAGGUGGUGCAUGGCUGUCGUCAGCUCGUGUCGUGAGAUGUUGGGUUAAGUCCCGCAACGAGCGCAACCCACGUUUUUAGUUGCCAGCAUUUAGUUGGGCACUCUAGAAAGACCGCCGGUGAUAAACCGGAGGAAGGUGUGGAUGACGUCAAGUCAUCAUGCCCCUUACACCCUGGGCUACACACGUACUACAAUGCUACGGACAAAGGGCAGCAAACUCGCGAGAGCUAGCAAAUCCCAUAAACCGUGGCUCAGUUCAGAUCGUAGGCUGCAACUCGCCUACGUGAAGUAGGAAUCGCUAGUAAUCGCAGGUCAGCAUACUGCGGUGAAUACGUUCCCGGGCCUUGUACACACCGCCCGUCACACCAUGGAAGUUGGCCAUGCCCGAAGUCGUUACUCCAACCCUUGUG
rnacentral:rRNA from 1 species